UACGGGGGGUGCAAGCGUUAUUCGGAAUCAUUGGGCGUAAAGAGCGCGUAGGCGGUCUUCUAUGUCAGAUGUGAAAGCCCGGGGCUCAACCCCGGAAGUGCAUUUGAAACUGGGAGACUUGAGUAUGGGAGAGGGAAGUGGAAUUCCUGGUGUAGCGGUGAAAUGCGUAGAUAUCAGGAGGAACACCGGUGGCGAAGGCGACUUCCUGGACCAAUACUGACGCUGAGGCGCGAAGGCGUGGGGAGCAAACAGG
rnacentral:rRNA from 1 species